UAACUAAUAAAUAGUUGGCUACUUUCAUCAAAAUUUUAUCUCAGGUGAUCAGAUACUGCUCUGCCCAACACUGCGUGAUGAGAUUCUCUAAGAGAUACGCGGUCUUACCUCACCAACAAGCAUCUCAUAAAUGAGCACACCCAGUCCCCACCAGUCUACUGCCCGAGUGUAUGAGAUGUCUGUGAGGACUUCUGGAGCCAGAAAUUCAGGAGUACCACAGAAGGUGUUUGUGCGGUCUCCAAAACCUAUUCCUGCAGGACAAGAACACUCUUGUCAAAUCCAGCACAUGCUUCUAAAUAGAUCUCAUGCAGUCUCAUCUUCUGAAAGCAAUAGAUUUCCUCUUGAUGAUUUGUUGUUGUCAACCAUGCAAGGGCUCUCAUCAGUGCUUGCAAAUACUAAUGAGAAUGUAUGAUACCUGAGAUCCCCAACGACUCUGAAUAGUAAUUCAGACAAUGCUUAAACAAGCAACUCAAUCAAGAAAACCUGCAGAUUCCACUGUUCAUUUACUUAAGUACAUAUCCUGUAGCAUCCUAUGUCCUUGCUUCUUUCAGCAGAGAAGGACACUCUAAACUGCUUCACAAGAUACCUGAAGAGCAAAGGGCACUCUUUCCAAGUUCAUCAUGGGCAGACAGGUCCCUGUAAGCAAAGAAGGGGGUGAAGAAAAUGGUGGAUGAAAUCUGAGGACUGCCAUCCAACAGACUCUUUUGCAUGAGGCAGAAACCAGAUGUUCAUAAAAAGAAAAUUGGAGUCCCAAGACUACGCAGGCUGUGUAAAACCUAGCAAAGAGGAACAGUUAUCAGGAAAAAUAUAUGAGAACCAAGUUAAACACUUACAAUGCCUGGAAACUAGGCUAAUUGUAACUCACUGUGCUGUACGCUCUGCAAAAACAUCUUCAUGUAUGCGCAUCAUAAGAUCACCUCCUGGAGUGUAUUCCAUCACAAAACAAGCAUGAUGAGGUGUCUGGAAACAUGCAAACAUGUUCACAAGGAAUGGAUGAUCAGAAGAAUUGACCACCUCAAAUAUUCGCUUCUCACAGUUCAAGCUGCCAGGAUUCAAAGAAUUAAAAUG